rnacentral:rRNA from 1 species
UACAGAGGGGGCAAGCGUUGUUCGGAAUUACUGGGCGUAAAGGGCGCGUAGGCGGCCUUCUAAGUCAGACGUGAAAUCCCUCGGCUCAACCGGGGAACUGCGUCUGAGACUGGAAGGCUUGAAUCCGGGAGAGGGAUGUGGAAUUCCAGGUGUAGCGGUGAAAUGCGUAGAUAUCUGGAGGAACACCGGUGGCGAAGGCGGCAUCCUGGACCGGUAUUGACGCUGAGGCGCGAAAGCCAGGGGAGCAAACGGG